rnacentral:rRNA from 1 species
GGCCCGCACAAGCGGUGGAGUAUGUGGUUUAAUUCGACGCAACGCGCAGAACCUUACCCAGCCUUGACAUUAUAGAGAAUCCUUCAGAGAUGUAGGAGUGCUUUUACGAGAACUUUAUAACAGGUGCUGCAUGGCUGUCGUCAGCUCGUGUCGUGAGAUGUUCGGUUAAGUCCGGUAACGAGCGCAACCCCUAUCCAUAGUUACUAUAGGACUCUAUGGAGACUGCCGGUGUCAAACCGGAGGAAGGUGGGGACGACGUCAAGUCCUCAUGGCCCUUACGGCUGGGGCUACACACGUACUACAAUGGCACUUACAAUGGGAAGCAAUAUCGCGAGAUGGAGCAAAUCCCCAAAGGGUGCCUCAGUUCGGAUUGGAGUCUGCAACUCGACUCCAUGAAGUUGGAAUCGCUAGUAA